rnacentral:rRNA from 1 species
GACGAACCGUGCGAACGUUAUUCGGAAUCACUGGGCUUAAAGCGCGUGUAGGCGGCCCGGCACGUCCGUCGCUGAAAGCCCCCGGCUCAACCGGGAAAGUGGCGGGAAUACGACCAAGCUGGAGGGGGGUAGGGGGCGCCGGAACUGCCGGUGGAGCGGUGAAAUGCGUUGAGAUCGGCAAAAACGCCCGUGGCGAAAGCGAGCGCCUGGACCCCACCUGACGCUGAGACGCGAAAGCCAGGGGAGCGAACGGG